UUAUGGGAACUACAGGCUCCUCAUAUUUUACAAAACUUUUUGUUUUCUGAGCACACAUCGCACUGGCUGCCAUCCACAGCCACGUUUAUGACUGGACGGCAGUGACACGCUGACGGAGACAGUUUGUUGGAACUGUUUCCGUCUCCGAACAAGACAAACACAGCAACGAGAACCAGAAAGAAGAAACCUCUUGCCAUGAUCCUAAACAAGUAGUACACGAAAUAUGGCUUCUUUCAAGCUGGAAUGUUUUUUAUACUUUCCGGUCAGAAAUAGACAUGUCGUCAGCAUAUUGAGACUAUUAUACCAACAGCCAAUCAAAUUGUUAUCUGUUAUUCAUAUCUUUGUUUAUUCACAGUACGCGUAACAAGCCACUCCUCUUGGCUGUCAAGCGGCGAUUGGCAGCAGCUAAUAAAAAAACCUAUGUCGAUCAUUCGUUCAGCAGCAUCAGGAAGAAAAGAUACGUGAUGUACUUUUUUUGCCACCAGAAGUACAUUAUUUAGAGAAAAUAAAAAAAUAGCUAACCUA